GCCUGCUUAAGCGUAUCCUGCCGUUUCAUACCUGACGGGAAGAGAGAAGAAUCUCCCUGAACUGAACAAAUGUGUCACUUUUGAAUAAGGAUUCAUGAAAA